UAAAGCAGAACUGAAUGAGUCAGAUUCCAAAUUGUGAAAAGAUUACAUGAAUUUAAGGAUAUGAACCUAUUAUUUUCUACUGAUUCAGAUUAUUGAAGCAAGAAUAAAAUUUAUUUACCAUCGCUUGUUUCUUAGAAUCGACACAAUUUUUAUUUUGCAUGAAGAUCUGCAGUCUACUUAUGAGAUUAAUAAGUCUUUACAUAAAAAAUUCUCAUUCUAUUAAGAAGAGAAAGAGCCUAGAAGAGGAUUUUCUAUGAUCUACAAGAGGAUUCUCUGGAAAAUGAACCUCUAAGGUGACCCAUAGGAGGAUUUCCUAUGAAGAUCCAGAUGAGGAUCCUCUAAGAAGGCCAAGACAACAGAAUCCUCUACCAAGCGGUAGAAGAGGACCUUCUAACAAAACCAUAAAAGGAGGAAGAUCCCCUAAAAAGACUCUGCAAGAGAAUCCCUUGACAAGUCCCAAAAGUGGAUCCUCUAACAAGACCUACAAAAGGAUCCCCUAAAAAGACCCAGAAGAGGAACCACUUUCAAGCCUGACCCUAGCCCAAAACAUUCGUCUCCAAAAUCAACUCUAACAACAGCGUUAUUUCUAGAGGGACUGAUAGUUCCAAGAUAUCCGUGUCACCGCACCUAAGUUGCCCGUAGACUUGGAAGACACUGCCGUUGCCCUCUUGAGCGCCGGACUCCAAGACCGAAGCAAGAGUCUCCAGCUUUUUCCUCCUCUUCUCUCGCCUUCUCCUCAGCUCCGCGUUCCCUUGCUCUUCUCCCCCAAUCGUCAACUUCUCCAACCUCUUCAGCACCUCCUGCAUAGCCGCCUCCCGCUUCUUCUUCCGCCUCUCCUCUCGCUCUCGGUCCUGUUCGUCGAUCGGCACCUGGGAGACUGGCUUGGAAGGUAUCCCGUUCAGCCCGAUCCCCUCGGAGCGCGACUUCAGAGCCUCCAGCUCCUCCCGGAGCCUCUGAGCCGACAGGUUCGAAUGCUCGCACUCCUUCUUCAGCCUUUCAACUUCCUCCAGGUAUCCCACCUGCCUGGUCUCCUCCUCGUCCACUUUCUCCGGCUGGGCAGGGAUCUCUUUCAACGUGGACUGAUCGCUCGAUUCCAACAGGGAACGAAGACGCUGCAGCUCCAACUGGUACUGUCUCAGCAGCGCGUCUUUGGGGUCCUCGUUCACCACCGGCUUGUUCUUGAUGCAUCUGGCCCUGGCCGCGUAUCGCAACGUGCUCAGAGUCUCCUCGGAAUCUACGUCGCUGGGGCUCACGCAGGCGAUCAUCAAGGUCCUGGCGUUGCCGCCGAGGCUGUCCCUUAGCAGCCUGGUCAGCUUGCUGUCCCUGAAAACGCAUUUCAAACCAGCUCUUAAUCAGCGCUAUCCAGGGCCUAGAACAUGGCGACCUUCGAGCUACCUGUAGGGCACGUGACGCCCGUGUCCAGCAGCAAGCGCGCUGAUGACGUUCCCCAGCGCGGACAAGCUGAGAUUGAUGCUGGCUGCCUCCUUCAGCCUGUCUCCGCUGGCCCCGGUCCUGGCCUGCCUCUCAGACCCCGCUAAAUCCACCAGGUGAAGCCUGCCUCUUUUCACCGUGUUCUCCGUCUGGCUGCCAUCGUUGAUGGCCAACGUCUCCAAGGACAGCGUCAGGACCGCGUGGCUCCUCGAGCUAGCGGCGUUCAUCUUGGUGGCCGCCAGGGCCCGUCUCUUGUCGCCCUGCUCCACCAACCGGGCGCAUUCCACCGCGUCCUUGACCGUGACCUCUCUCAGCCCGCCGGCCACAUCUCCAGGUAGCUAAGCAGAGCCAGGUACCUCAUGUCCGAGCUGGCCGUCGACGUAGCCUCGAAGAUGUGGUCCAGCGCGCGCUCGAUGAAGCCACGCAUCGUGUGCGAUUUCCCGCAGCCGGUUUGCCCGUAGGCGAACACCGUGCCAUUGUAACCGUCGAGCAGGGCCUCCACUAUCACCGAGCCCACGUUCUCGUAUACGGACUCGGUGGUGGCCUCCGGGCCGAACGCCGCGUCGAACUGGUACACCUUGCCGCUUCCGGCGGCCUCCAAGGUGCAGCAUUUCGUCACCGCGUCGGUCGUUAUCACGUUCUAAGGACAUUCGGGGAACCGUAAGUUAGAGUGCGGUUUUUUGGGCUGGAUGGUAGGUUAGCGGGUCGAGUACAGCGAUCUGGACAGUGAAUGCACGCGUAGGGUACUGUGGCGAACGGGUAAGGUGAGAGCAGGUAUUACUGUAAUGUCUCUCUAAUCGACGCCCAGAUUUGGACAGAGAUUUGGCCCGGGAAAAUGGACAAUUUGGGAA